rnacentral:lncRNA from 1 species
UAAAAAAUGGCUUAUCAAUUUCCAUCCUGAUAGACAGCAAAAUCCUCUCCCAUUUAUCUCCUCUUCUUCCAUGUUAUCUCUCUUCCCAAGGUCAUCGCAAUGUCAAUUCAUGUCUUCUAAAUUAGCAAGUCCGCAUAAAGUGUUUCAGUGGACACCUUCAAUGAUGUUCUGUGUGCCAGGAUACCACCUCCAAGACCCCAGUCACUCUCCUCUCUACUUACACUAUCCUACACAAACACACAUACACCCCCACACACAGACACACACACAGGCACACACCCCCCACACACGUAGACACAGAGACACCAGAACACAUUCGAGAAACCCAACCAAGACCAUCUUGACUAGUUAUUUCUCCUCUAUUUUCUACAAUAAUCUUUUCUUUAUCAACAAUUGAUAUGUUUUUGAAAUGAGACCAGACCUGGCUUGUAUGCAUCCACCAUCUUCUCCUGCCAUUAAUUGGAGUUUGGAGGCCAAACUCUAGGCACAGCUGCAUCGGCAUCAACAAUAACAAGAACCAUGUUGAGACACAGUUGAUCAUCACCAAAGCUCUUCUUUAGGUUGGAAGGGAUAGCUGAUCCGGCUGCUUCUGAGGCAUGACCAGGCUGGGGCAGCUAGCUGCAGAAAACCCCUGGUGUACCCAGAUAUCCUGCACCCCCAAAACUCCCCAUAAGACAAAACUAUAGAGACCAAGGGGUAGAAACCUAUGAAGAGUAACCGAGAAUGACUGAAUCAUAGGAAUGAAUGUUCCUGGAGCCUCUUUUCUAAAAAGUCUCCAGUAAACCUAAAACCAACCAGCCAAAGUUGGCCAAGGUCGGCCUUCAGGUACUCAGCAGAAAGGCCAAUCUCAAGGUUCACACAACCUUUUUGGCAGAACUCCUUUUCGGCAUUUCAGACUCUGGCACCCACAGCCCUGGAACAAAAACAUUUCAAUUUUCAAGAGCUGGCUAGGAAUUCUAGAGAAGGAGAAUUCAUUUAGAGUUUUGCACAUACAAGAAGUUGGGAGGAGGGUGAAGUCCAAAUGUGUGGGCAUAUUCUGCUUUUACUCCCUGUGUUUUUGGAAGACACCAUGUAUUCAGUGAUAUCAAGGGCUUCUGAAAUAUCCAGGUGUGCCUGUUCUAGUGAAUAAGUUGUCCCUGAGCUGGUGUCUGGGCAAUCUUCUGUUUAGUUAGGUACAAACCAAAGCACCUGACAGUGUCAAUGCCUUCAGGAGGCUACAGCACGGGAGCAUGUGAACGUGAAAUCCACUCAGGAGGGAGCUGGGGAGAUUGGGUCAGAGUUUCAGGUUCAGAGGGGAGAAUUCUACUAACUGGUUUGUAGAAUUCAGGAUUCUCACUGGACUGCCUUAAACAUCAGGACGUUAAACUACCACAAAUGGGAGUAUUUCUCAAUAUUCUACAGUUUGAAUUCCAAAUUCCCAAUUUUUGAAGUGUUGGUGAACCAGUUGCAAUGAUAUUUAGUUAACAGAUUCUAACACAAACUCAUUAUUUAUUUAAUAAUUUUUAAAAGAUUCAUUUAAAAAUAUAAAUGUAUUUUUUUAAAAUUAUUAUUAUACUUUAAGUUUUAGGGUACAUGUGCACAAUGUGCAGGUUAGUUACAUAUGUAUACAUGUGCCAUGCUGCUGUGCUGCACCCAUUAACUUGUCAUUUAG